UACGUAGGGGGCGAGCGUUGUCCGGAAUUAUUGGGCGUAAAGAGCGUGUAGGCGGUUCGGUAAGUCUGCCGUGAAAACCUGGGGCUCAACCUCGGGCGUGCGGUGGAUACUGCCGGGCUAGAGGACGGUAGAGGCGAGUGGAAUUCCUGGUGUAGCGGUGAAAUGCGCAGAUAUCAGGAGGAACACCAAUUGCGAAGGCAGCUCGCUGGGACGUUACUGACGCUGAGACGCGAAAGCGUGGGGAGCAAACAGG
rnacentral:rRNA from 1 species